GGACUGUAGCUCAGUGGCAGAGUGCCAGCUCUGCACGCAGAAGAUCCCAGGUUCAAUCCCCAGAAUCUCCA